UACGUAGGGGGCAAGCGUUGUCCGGAAUCAUUGGGCGUAAAGAGCGUGUAGGCGGCCCGGUAAGUCCGCUGUGAAAGUCCAGGGCUCAACCCUGGGAUGCCGGUGGAUACUGUCGGGCUCGAGUCCGGAAGAGGAGUGUGGAAUUCCUGGUGUAGCGGUGAAAUGCGCAGAUAUCAGGAGGAACACCGGUGGCGAAGGCGCCACUCUGGGCCGGUAUUGACGCUGAGGCGCGAAAGCGUGGGGAGCAAACAGG
rnacentral:rRNA from 1 species